rnacentral:rRNA from 1 species
UACGAAGGGGGCUAGCGUUGCUCGGAUUCAUUGGGCGUAAAGGGUGUGUAGGUGGCGCCGUAAGUCGGGUGUGAAAUUUCGGAGCUUAACUCCGAAACUGCAUUCGAUACUGCGGUGCUUGAGGACUGGAGAGGAGACUGGAAUUCAUGGUGUAGCAGUGAAAUGCGUAGAUAUCGUAAGGAAGACCAGUGGCGAAGGCGGGUCUCUGGACAGUUCCUGACGCUGAGGCACGAAGGUCAGGGGAGCAAACGGG